UACGUAGGGCGCGAGCGUUGUCCGGAAUUAUUGGGCGUAAAGAGCUCGUAGGCGGCCGGUUGCGUCUGCUGUGAAAUCCCGGGGCUUAACCCCGGGCGUGCAGUGGAUACGGGCCGGCUGGAGGCAGGCAGGGGAGAAUGGAAUUCCCGGUGUAGCGGUGAAAUGCGCAGAUAUCGGGAGGAACACCGGUGGCGAAGGCGGCUCACUGGCCCGGUACUGACGCUGAGGCACGAAAGCGUGGGGAGCAAACAGGG
rnacentral:rRNA from 1 species